rnacentral:rRNA from 1 species
UUGGGAAUCUUGCACAAUGGGGGCAACCCUGAUGCAGCGACGCCGCGUGGAAGACGAAGGCCCUAGGGUCGUAAAUUCCUUUUGUCGAGGAAGACUUAGGACGGUACUCGACGAAUAAGCACCGGCUAACUACGUGCCAGCAGCCGCGGUAAUACGUAGGGUGCAAGCGUUGUCCGGAUUUACUGGGCGUAAAGCGCUCGUAGGCGGUUUGUCAAGUGUGAAGUGAAAUCUCCAGGGCUCAACCCGGAAACUGCUUCGCAGACUGGCAGACUUGAGUGACUCAGAGGUGGAUAGAAUUCCUGGUGUAGCGGUGAAAUGCGUUGAUAUCAGGAGGAAUACCGACGGCGAAGGCAGUCCACUGGGAGUCUACUGACGCUGAGGAGCGAAAGCGUGGGUAGCAAA